rnacentral:tRNA from 1 species
UGGGGUAUAGCUCAGUGGUACAGCAUAUGCUUAGCACGCUCGAGGUCCUGGGUUUAAUUCCCAGUACCCCAC